rnacentral:rRNA from 1 species
GUGGGGGAUAUUGGUCAAUGGGGGAAACCCUGAACCAGCAAUGCCGCGUGAGGGAAGAAGGUCUUCGGAUUGUAAACCUAAGUAGUCAGGGACGAAAAAAAUGACGGUACCUGAAGAGUAAGCUCCGGCUAACUACGUGCCAGCAGCCGCGGUAAUACGUAGGGAGCGAGCGUUGUCCGGAUUUACUGGGUGUAAAGGGUGCGUAGGCGGGUCGGCAAGUCAGAUGUGAAAUACCGGGGCUUAACCCCGGGGCUGCAUUUGAAACUGUUGAUCUUGAGUGAAGUAGAGGCAGGCGGAAUUCCUAGUGUAGCGGUGGAAUGCGUAGAUAUUAGGAGGAACACCAGUGGCGAAGGCGGCCUGCUGGGCUUUAACUGACGCUGAUGCACGAAAGCAUGGGGAGCAAACAGGA